rnacentral:lncRNA from 1 species
AUUAUCUUAGUAAAAUUGUUUCUAAACUUGAUAUGGAGGGCCAUAAAUUGUAACUUAUAUAUUAUAGCCUGCCUCAAGCCAAACUAAGGUCAAGAUCAAUUUAAAAGCGAAAUGAACUUCAACCAGGAGAUAAUCCAUUUACAUUACUCCAAUCCACAUAUACGUGAUGCAUUAUCUACAAGUAGGCUUGGGGAAAUGAAUUCAGGCGUGUCACAGGUUUGAAAGCCAUAACGUCCUUUAAAAGGAGCUGGGCUAGAAGGACAACCCAAGGUCGGGGGUGCAAAAGGGAAGCCUCGAGGACCUAGCUGGGCCAACACGAAUCUGGGCCCAAAUAUGAGAACUGUGGAUCAUUCAAAGAAGACUCUAUCAUCAUGGAUCAAGCAUAUUCAAAUUUCUGCUAGACGUAACAUAUAUAUUGAUUUCACAUCUCGGUCAUAAGGAAAGUAUCUCAGUUCCAUUGAGCAAAACAGACUAAGAAUGGAAAACUUACAGAAAUAGAAUACUAACUCAUCACAACCUAAAUAACAUGAAAGCAAAUAUUUAUUCAUUAUUUCCAGCAGAACUUAAUCACAAUUCUAACAUCCAUAACUCAACUAAACCUUUCUACUAUAGCAAUGUUAAAUAAUCCUAAAAUCACAUACAAGGGUCAACUUCAGAUGUCAUAAGCUGGAAAUUAUCUUGGAGAUGAAGUGAAUCAGAACAUAAUAUCAUACAACUGAAUUACAAAACUAGUUGAAGCUAUGCUCUAAAUUAUAUUCUUUCAUUUUUUGCUUUGAAUAUAAAUUCACACUCUGUAGAGCUCAAGAGUAAGUACCUGAUUACAACAACACAUAAUAAGAAAAAUGAGUUGAAAGUUAAGGAGAAGCAGCAGCAACAUACUUGAGUUAAUAAACUACCAAUCAAACAGACUUGAACACCAGCUUUUGAUCCAAAAAUACCCCCAGAAAUCCUUUAUAACUUUCAGAUAGUAGAACUAAAGAAAGAAUGGACCAAUAUUCACCAGAAAUGUCAAAUAGAUUUCAAUGUUUUGAAAGACUCAGACGUUUUUAAUUUUUCUAGAAUUUUUGUCCCAUUUUUCUGACUUUUAACUCAAGUAAUGGUGCCUUUAUAGGCAAGGUAUUAGGGCUGCCUAAAAGAGUUCAAUUUUACACUUGAAACCUUUUGAAAUUUUGGUUUUAACUUAGGUACCAUUAGUAUAAAAUUUAGAACUUUAAUUUAGUCCCAACCCCAGCUUCCUAAAAGCUUCCUCAAUCAGUUACACCAAGAUUUCCUAAGCUAAUUACCCAGAAUAUCCCUUAAACCCAUAUUAUUUACCCGAAAAACAGACCAGAUGGGUCAAAAUUAACCCAAUUUAAAGUCUCAUAGGUCUGUAAAUCCCCUCUUGGACUUUUGAUUUUUAAAACCCAAUUCAAAUCAAUCAGAGAUUCACCAUUCUAAGGACUGACCCAAAAUUUCCCAAAAGAAAACCCAGAAACCUUAAGCCAAAGCCCAAAACCCAAAAGAAAAGGAAAAUGAAUUAAUUAGUUAAACGACAGUAAUAAAGGUAUGUUGAUUAUUAAACACUCAUGCAUGGUACAAAUUGAAAGGAACACAUAAUGAGUAAAACAAGAAGGGGAAACAGAAAAGAGAUGAGAAGGACAAGAAAAGAAACAAUAGAAACAAGUGAAAAUACCUAAACCGGGCUGACCAGACCUUGACAUCAUUCUUCAAUCUUUCAAUUUUGACCGAAAGGGAUCUUAAUCAUGUGUUAUCAGAUGAAAACACAUGAACAAGGUCCAUUUUCGCCUCAAUCUUUACUAAGUUGUCGAUUUUAGGAUCUAGAAAUUUUAGGUCUCAUAUUUGAUCCAAGAUUCGAUGAGAUGGAGACGGAUUCGAGGGAGCCGUGUUGAGAUUUGGAUAGAGGAGGAUGAGAAGGUUCAGGGGUGUGAUCUUGAGGUUAUUUGGGAUGGUGCAAGGUGGCUCUGCCACCGGAGAUGAUGGUGAGUUUUGGGGCAGCAUUUAGGUUUUGGUUAGAAGUCUCUAAAGAGACGAGGAGAGAGAGACGAAUGAGAGAAGGGGGAACAAUAGUUCGAACGUAUAAAUAUUAGAGGGAACC